GGGGCUCACAGCCAGGUGGAAACAGCCUCUGCUGCAAACGGACCCAAACCUGGAGCCGACCCGCCAGCAUGCCGCUGUCAGGAUGAGUAGGGGUCAGGACGGAAGCUCCUAGCACAGGCCGUGCUGGGAUCGCAGACUGAAGGAGAUUCAUUUGCAGUUUGCCUGCAGCUUGACGAAGCUUUUAAAAUCUCUCACCUAGCACUAGGUACAGCAGAUUCUCUUCUAUGAAGACUCGGUUGCAGCCCACCUUUCUAAAAUCCUCACCUCGGACCAGCACUCGGUGGUCAUCUCCUCGGCCAAAGUGCUCUGUGAGACGGUGAAGGACUUCGUGGCACGGGUGGGGAAGGCCUAUGAGAAGACGACCGAGAGCUCGGAGGAGUCAGAGGUCAUGGCCAAGAAGUGCUCUGUCCUGAAAGAGAAGCUGGAUUCCCUUCUCAAGACCUUGGACGAUGA
rnacentral:lncRNA from 1 species